UACGUAGGGGGCAAGCGUUGUCCGGAAUUACUGGGCGUAAAGAGCUCGUAGGUGGUUUGUCGCGUUGUCCGUGAAAACUCACAACUCAAUUGUGGGCGUGCGGGCGAUACGGGCAGACUGGAGUACUGCAGGGGAGACUGGAAUUCCUGGUGUAGCGGUGGAAUGCGCAGAUAUCAGGAGGAACACCGGUGGCGAAGGCGGGUCUCUGGGCAGUAACUGACGCUGAGGAGCGAAAGUGUGGGGAGCGAACAGG
rnacentral:rRNA from 1 species